rnacentral:SRP_RNA from 1 species
GUCGGCCACCGCCAGCAGCGUUGCGAUCG